CGCUCGUGCAUGAUUGCGCGUCCAGGUACUUGGAAUGGGUGGAGUCAGAGUCAGCGUUGAAGGAGAGGGGCAGUUGGCCGCACAGAUCAGAGCACUCCAAUUCCAAAGAUCUGGAUCUACAUCUCAACUGGGCUGGGAGUACUGGUCCUGGUACUGGUUUUGGUUUUCGUCUGUGGUUUUCGUAGGAGAAAUGCAGCACCAGAAGUUAUGGACACCGUGUACGACAGCAUUGAAAAUGUUGAACGGAAAGCGACCACGUCAAAGGAUGAGCUGAGUCUGGGACCACUCUAUGAACUGAUCCAAAACGUUGAAGCUAAGCCCCCACAGCAGGAGAGCAAUGGAAACACCAUCUAUUACACUGUUCAGCAAAGCCGCCUUAUGGACCCUCCCUCCUAACAAGAAGACCCCCAGAGCUGCUGCUGGCUCAAGGUGGUUCCUGGAGAAGAAGACGUCCAAAUAUACAAACCCAAAUGAGAUUGCAGCAUCCUAAAACCAAAUGCUUAAGAUUUGUUUGUUGGUCAUCUGUGUGUGUGUACUGUUUAAAAAAGUCUUUUCUAACUAUUCUCUAGUGUCUAUAUACAGAUUGUUGAUAAGAUUAGCAUUUGGGAAAUAUCACCCACAAAUAAAAUUUGGGAGCAUUCAAACUAUCAAAUAUACCUGCUGACAAACAUGCUUAAAUUGCCUAAAUGCGUCAGCAUUUCAAGCAUCAAGUUGACUUUAUACAACUUUAUUCAUGACAUUGCCUGUUUCUCCCAGAUUCAGACUUGGUUUAAUUCCAAAUUCAUCAUCUUCUGUGCAUAAUGUGGCGUUAGCAUCUUUCAUUGACUUGCAGAGAUACAGUAGCCUAGCUCCUCUUCAUGUGAGGGAAAAUGGCUUAAAUCGAAUGCCUCCCGCACACUCCCAUUCUGGAUACACAGUGAAGAAUUUGGAAUUAUGCAACAUGUCUGAAUCUGGGUAAAGGCAAAGGCCCACCCACUUACAGAUAUCUCUGUAUGCCUUUAAGCUUGUUGAACCAUUUGCAGCCAAAUGGAAGUUGCUGGAAUAAAUUGUGAGAUAAGAAACAAAUAUUUUUUAACAUUAGGUUUCAAAGAGAUGAAAAAAAGAUCCAUGAUAUAAAGGUCACACAAAUCCACACUAUUUUGAAAAUGUAAUCAAAUCAAGAACCCGUCUCGGCCAACCAAAACCCAGGAUCUCUGACCAGCUCGUCCACUUGACCGGCCUCCUUUACCUGAAAAACAAAGAAAAAGGGAUGUGUCAUUUAGAACACACCGCUAACCGCUAGGCUGAUGUCACCAUCAUACCUGUUUGGACACCCUCUGAUGUCAAUAAAUGACUUGUAAGAGUUUAUCAAUAAAUCUUCAGCCUCUCGCAC
ensembl:lncRNA